GUCCACGCAGUAAACGAUGUUCACUAGGUGUCGGUCCCGUUAAAUCGGGGCCGGUGCCGCAGCUAACGCAUUAAGUGAACCACCUGGGGAGUACAGUCGCAAGGCUGAAACUCAAAGGAAUUGACGGGGACCCGCACAAACGGUGGAGCAUGUUGUUUAAUACGACGAUACGCGUGGAACCUUACCCAGGCUUGACAUGCACGGGAAGACCUUAUGAAAGUAGGGUUGUCUCUCAAGGACUCGUGCACAGGUGUUGCAUGGCUGUCGU
rnacentral:rRNA from 1 species